CGGGGGGUGUUUCGGGAUUACUGGGUGUAAAGGGUUCGUAGGCGGUGUGGCAAGUCGGGAGUGAAAUCUAUGGGCUUAACUCAUAGUCUGCUUCCGAAACUGCUGUGCUGGAGUGUGGGAGAGGCGCGUGGAAUUGCAGGUGUAGCGGUGAAAUGCGUAGAUAUCUGCAGGAACACCCGUGGCGAAAGCGGCGCGCUGGACCACUACUGACGCUGAGGAACGAAAGCUAGGGGAGCAAACAGGAUUAGAUACCCUGGUAGUCCUAGCCCUAAACGAUCAGGACUUGGGGUGCCGCACGUUCGUGCGUCGUCCCGGAGCUAACGCGUUAAGUCCUGCACCUGGGGAGUACGGUCGCAAGACUGAAACUCAAAGGAAUUGACGGGGGCCCGCACAAGCGGUGGAACAUGUGGUUCAAUUCGACGCUACGCGAGGAACCUUACCUGGGCUCGAAAUGCUUCUGACCAGCUGUAGAAAUACGGCCUUCCCGCAAGGGACAGGAGUAUAGGCGCUGCAUGGCUGUCGUCAGCUCGUGCCGUGAGGUGUUGGGUUAAGUCCCGCAACGAGCGCAACCCCUGCACGUAGUUGCCACCCGCAAGGGGGAACUCUACGUGGACUGCUCCGGAUAACGGAGAGGAAGGUGGGGAUGACGUCAAGUCCGCAUGGCCUUUAUGUCCAGGGCUACACACGUGUUACAAUGCAGGGCACAAACCGUUGCCAACCCGCGAGGGGGAGCUAAUCGGAAAAAACUCUGCUCAGUUCGGAUUGCAGUCUGCAACUCGACUGCAUGAAGCCGGAAUCGCUAGUAAUGGCGUAUCAGAUCGACGCCGUGAAUACGUUCCCGGGCCUUGUACACACCGCCCGUCACAUCACGAAAGUGAGCUGUACUAGAAGUCGUCGCGCUAACCGCAAGGAGGCAGACGCCCAAGUAUGACUCAUGAUUGGGGUGAAGUCGUAACAAGGUAAC
rnacentral:rRNA from 1 species